rnacentral:rRNA from 1 species
AUAACAAUACCGGGCUCUAUGAGUCUGGUAAUUGGAAUGAGUACAUUCUGAAUUCCUUAAUGAGGAUCCAUUGGAGGGCAAGUCUGGUGCCAGCAGCCGGUCGUCUCGUCCCUU